AUACGUAGGUGGCAAGCGUUAUCCGGAUUUACUGGGUGUAAAGGGCGUGUAGGCGGUAUACCAAGUCAGAUGUGAAAUCUCCCGGCUCAACCGGGAGCGUGCAUCUGAAACUGGUACACUUGAGUGCUGGAGGGGAAAGCGGAAUUCCUAGUGUAGCGGUAAAAUGCGUAGAUAUCGGGAGGAACACCAGUGGCGAAGGCGACUUCCUGGCACAAUACUGACGCUCAUGUGCGAAAGCUAGGGUAGCGAACGGGAUUAGAUACCCCGGUAGUCCUAGCCGUAAACGAUGGAUACUAGGUGUGGGUGUCGCAGGGCAUCCGUGCCGCAGCUAACGCGUUAAGUAUCCCGCCUGGGGACUACGGUCGCAAGACUGAAACUCAAAGGAAUUGACGGGG
rnacentral:rRNA from 1 species